AACCAUAGAAACCUGCGGAGUACCUGCGGAAGGAUCAUUACAGAGUUAUCCAACUCCCAAACCCAUGUGAACUUAUCUCUUUGUUGCCUCGGCGCAAGCUACCCGGGACCCCGCGCCCCGGGCGGCCCGCCGGCGGACAAACCAAAACUCUUGUUAUCUUAGUUGAUUCUCUGAGCGUCUUAUUUAAUAAGUCAAAACUUUUAACAACGGAUCU
rnacentral:misc_RNA from 1 species